GACGAACGCUGGCGGCGCGCCUAACACAUGCAAGUCGAACGAGCGAGCGAGAGCUUGCUUUCUCGAGCGAGUGGCGAACGGGUGAGUAACGCGUGAGGAACCUGCCUCAAAGAGGGGGACAACAGUUGGAAACGACUGCUAAUACCGCAUAAGCCCACGACCCGGCAUCGGGUAGAGGGAAAAGGAGCAAUCCGCUUUGAGAUGGCCUCGCGUCCGAUUAGCUAGUUGGUGAGGUAACGGCCCACCAAGGCGACGAUCGGUAGCCGGACUGAGAGGUUGAACGGCCACAUUGGGACUGAGACACGGCCCAGACUCCUACGGGAGGCAGCAGUGGGGAAUAUUGCACAAUGGGGGAAACCCUGAUGCAGCGACGCCGCGUGGAGGAAGAAGGUCUUCGGAUUGUAAACUCCUGUUGUUGAGGAAGAUAAUGACGGUACUCAACAAGGAAGAGACGGCUAACUACGUG
rnacentral:rRNA from 1 species